rnacentral:rRNA from 1 species
UACGGAGGGGGCGAGCGUUAUUCGGAAUUAUUGGGCGUAAAGGGCGCGUAGGCGGCUUGAUGUGUCAAAGGUGAAAUCCCUCGGCUCAACUGAGGAACUGCCUUUGAAACUGUCUGGCUUGAGGCCGGGAGAGGGUAGCGGAAUUCCCAGUGUAGCGGUGAAAUGCGUAGAUACUGGGAGGAACACCGGUGGCGAAGGCGGCUACCUGGACCGGGUCUGACGCUGAUGCGCGAAAGCGUGGGUAGCAAACAGG